rnacentral:SRP_RNA from 1 species
GCCAGGUGUGGUGGUGCACACCUCUAGUCCCAGCUGUUCAGGAGGCUGAGGUGGGAGGAUCACUUGAGCCCAGGAGUAUGAGGCUGCAGUGAUCUAUAAUUAUGCCACUGCACACCAGCCUGGGCAACAGAGUGAGACCCUGCCUCAA